AACACUCGUACUUUUGUGUUAUUUCCUCUUUUUACAUCGCUUCCUGAACAGUUCUUAAAAAACCUCACAUAUGUAGAAAUGACUUCUCUAUGAAACUCGUAAGAAUAUUAAACAUCAUAUUUGUCGAGGAAAAAGUUCCACAGGAAAAAGACUCCUUUAAACUUCACUUUUUUGUAAGAAGAUGGCUGGAACUCUGACUUUUCUUCUCAUUAGUUCUCUGCUGCAGGGUGCUCUGUGUAGAACGUUCAACAUCAGUAUGCCACAGAAUAUAAAUGUUUUGAGAGGAUCCUGUGUGACCAUCCCCUGCUCCUUUGAUGUAGAAAGCAGAUUUGAAGAUAACUUAGAUGAUACAUGCAAAGCAUAUUGGAGCGAUUCACCUUUAUUUAGCAGUAGAAAUGCAAAACUAAAGCCAACUAAAGAAAUGACAGGAGACUUAAAAAAGAAAGACUGCACCACAACUUUCAAUAAUGCAGAUUUUCUUCAAAGUACUAAAUAUUACUUCAGACUGGAGUGUAAUAAUGCACUGAAAUACAUUUUUUCACAAGCUGGUGUAGAUAUUUCAUUCAUAGAUGUUCCUCCUUCACCGACUCUGACUCCAUCCACACUGGAGGUGAAGGAGGGAACCUCAGUGAGUCUGACGUGCUCUGCUCCAGCUCCAUGUUGGUCUCAUCCUCCAGCUCUGACAUGGAGCCCUAACCUGGGUCAGAGUCAGGAGACACUGCAGGAGAAUCAGGACAAAACUAAAGUCAAGACCUCUGUUAUGAAUUUCACUGCUUCUCACCUCCAUCAUGGAAAUAAAAUCUCCUGCACUGCUGUUUACCAGAAACAAGAUGGCAGCCCUGAUGUCACUGCUGAAACAAGUUUAACUCCUGAUAUUUCAAGUGGAACGUGGGGAAUCAAGAUGCCACAGAAUAUAAAUGUCAUGAGUGGAACUUGUGUGACCAUCCCCUGCUUCUUUGAUGUAGCCAGCAAUCACAAAAUUAACUUAGAUGAUACAUGCAAAGCAUAUUGGAGUGAUUCACUUCCAUUUAACAGUGAAAAUGCAAAACUAAAACCAACUAAAGACAUGACAGGAGACUUAACAAAGAAAGACUGCACCACAACUUUCAAUAAUGCAAGUCUUCUUCAAAGUACUAAAUAUUACUUCAGACUGGAGUGUGAUAAUGCACUGAAAUACACUUUUUCACAAACUGGUGUAAAUAUUUCAUCCAUAGAUGAUCCUCCCUCUCUGACUUUGACUCCAUCCACACUGGAGGUGAAGGAGGGAACCUCAGUGAGUCUGACGUGCUCUGCUCCAGCUCCAUGUUGGUCUCAUCCUCCAGCUCUGACAUGGAGCCCUAACCUGGGUCAGAGUCAGGAGACACUACAGGAGCAUCAGGACAAAACUAAAGUCAAGACCUCUGUUCUGAGUUUCACUGCUUCUCACCUCCAUCAUGGAAAUAAAAUCUCCUGCACUGCUGUUUACCAGAAACAAGAUGGCAGCCCUGAUGUCACUGCUGAAACAAGUUUAACUCCUGAUAUUUCAAGUGGAACGUGGGGAAUCAAGAUGCCACAGAAUAUAAAUGUCAUGAGUGGAACCUGUGUGACCAUCCCCUGCUUCUUUGAUGUAGCCAGCAAUCACAAAAUUAACUUAGAUGAUACAUGCAAAGCAUAUUGGAGUGAUUCACUUCCAUUUAACAGUGAAAAUGCAAAACUAAAACCAACUAAAGACAUGACAGGAGACUUAACAAAGAAAGACUGCACCACAACUUUCAAUAAUGCAAGUCUUCUUCAAAGUACUAAAUAUUACUUCAGACUGGAGUGUGAUAAUGCACUGAAAUACACUUUUUCACAAACUGGUGUAAAUAUUUCAUCCAUAGAUGAUCCUCCCUCUCUGACUUUGACUCCAUCCACACUGGAGGUGAAGGAGGGAACCUCAGUGAGUCUGACGUGCUCUGCUCCAGCUCCAUGUUGGUCUCAUCCUCCAGCUCUGACAUGGAGCCCUAACCUGGGUCAGAGUCAGGAGACACUACAGGAGCAUCAGGACAAAACUAAAGUCAAGACCUCUGUUCUGAGUUUCACUGCUUCUCACCUCCAUCAUGGAAAUAAAAUCUCCUGCACUGCUGUUUACCAGAAACAAGAUGGCAGCCCUGAUGUCACUGCUGAAACAAGUUUAACUCCUGAUAUUUCAAGUGGAACGUGGGGAAUCAAGAUGCCACAGAAUAUAAAUGUCAUGAGUGGAACCUGUGUGACCAUCCCCUGCUUCUUUGAUGUAGCCAGCAAUCACAAAAUUAACUUAGAUGAUACAUGCAAAGCAUAUUGGAGUGAUUCACUUCCAUUUAACAGUGAAAAUGCAAAACUAAAACCAACUAAAGACAUGACAGGAGACUUAACAAAGAAAGACUGCACCACAACUUUCAAUAAUGCAAGUCUUCUUCAAAGUACUAAAUAUUACUUCAGACUGGAGUGUGAUAAUGCACUGAAAUACACUUUUUCACAAACUGGUGUAAAUAUUUCAUCCAUAGAUGAUCCUCCCUCUCUGACUUUGACUCCAUCCACACUGGAGGUGAAGGAGGGAACCUCAGUGAGUCUGACGUGCUCUGCUCCAGCUCCAUGUUGGUCUCAUCCUCCAGCUCUGACAUGGAGCCCUAACCUGGGUCAGAGUCAGGAGACACUGCAGGAGAAUCAGGACAAAACUAAAGUCAAGACCUCUGUUAUGAGUUUCACUGCUUCUCACCUCCAUCAUGGAAAUAAAAUCUCCUGCACUGCUGUUUACCAGAAACAAGAUGGCAGCCCUGAUGUCACUGCUGAAACAAGUUUAACUCCUGAUAUUUCAAGUGGAACGUGGGGAAUCAAGAUGCCACAGAAUAUAAAUGUCAUGAGUGGAACCUGUGUGACCAUCCCCUGCUUCUUUGAUGUAGACAGAAAUCACAAAAUUAAUUUAGAUGAUUCAUGCAAAGCAUAUUGGAGUGACUCAACUUCAUUUAACAGUGAAAAUGCAAAACUAAAACCAACUAAAGACAUGACAGGAGACUUAACAAAGAAAGACUGCACCACAACUUUCAAUAAUGCAAGUCUUCUUCAAAGUACUAAAUAUUACUUCAGACUGGAGUGUGAUAAUGCACUGAAAUACACUUUUUCACAAACUGGUGUAAAUAUUUCAUCCAUAGAUGUUCCUCCCUCUCUGACUUUGACUCCAUCCACACUGGAGGUGAAGGAGGGAACCUCAGUGAGUCUGACGUGCUCUGCUCCAGCUCCAUGUUGGUCUCAUCCUCCAGCUCUGACAUGGACCCCUAACCUGGGUCAGAGUCAGGAGACACUGCAGGAGAAUCAGGACAAAACUAAAGUCAAGACCUCUGUUAUGAAUUUCACUGCUUCUCACCUCCAUCAUGGAAAUAAAAUCUCCUGCACUGCUGUCUACCAGAAAGAAGAUGGUAGCCCUGAUGUCACUGCUGAAACAAGUUUAACUCCUGAUAUUUCAAGUGGAACGUGGGGAAUCAAGAUGCCACAGAAUAUAAAUGUCAUGAGUGGAACCUGUGUGACCAUCCCCUGCUUCUUUGAUGUAGCCAGCAAUCACAAAAUUAACUUAGAUGAUACAUGCAAAGCAUAUUGGAGUGAUUCACUUCCAUUUAACAGUGGAAAUGCAAAACUAAAACCAACUAAAGACAUGACAGGAGACUUAACAAAGAAAGACUGCACCACAACUUUCAAUAAUGCAAGUCUUCUUCAAAGAAGUAAAUAUUACUUCAGACUGGAGUGUGAUAAUGCACUGAAAUACACUUUUACACAAGCUGGUGUAGAUAUUUCAUUCAUAGAUGAUCCUCCCUCUCUGACUCUGACUCCAUCCACACUGGAGGUGAAGGAGGGAACCUCAGUGAGUCUGACGUGCUCUGCUCCAGCUCCAUGUUGGUCUCAUCCUCCAGCUCUGACAUGGAGCCCUAACCUGGGUCAGAGUCGGGAGACACUGCAGGAGAAUCAGGACAAAACUAAAGUCAAGACUUCUGUUAUCAGUUUCACUGCUUCUCACCUCCAUCAUGGAAAUAAAAUCUCCUGCACUGCUGCCUACCAGAAACAAGAUGGUAGCCCUAAUGCCACUGCUGAAACAAGUUUAACUCCCAAUAUUUCAUAUUCACCUAAAAAUAUUAUGGUUUCAGUCAGUCCUUCUGGUCCAGUACCAGAGAACAGCAAUGUGAGUCUGACCUGUAGCAGUAAUGCCAACCCAGCAGUGAGGAACUACACCUGGUACAGAGCUGAUGGAGACCAGGAGACGCUUAUUGGCACAGGAACCAGUUUAAACAUUCAAGUCUCCAGAGACAGACGGACAUUUUUCUGCAAGGCUGAAAAUGAGAUUGGAGUUGGACGUUCCAGCAGCAUUCAAAUAGAUGUUCAGUACUCACCUAAAAACAUCACAGUUUCAGUCAGUCCUUCUGGUCCAGUACCAGAGAACAGCAAUGUGAGUCUGACCUGCAGCAGUAAUGCCAACCCAGCAGUGAGGAACUACACCUGGUACAGAGCUGAUGGAGACCAGGAGACUUUAAUUGGAACAGGAACCAGUUUAAACAUUCAAGUCUCCAGAGACAGACGGACAUUUUUCUGCAAGGCUGAAAAUGAGAUUGGAGUUGGACGUUCCAGCAGCAUUCAAAUAGAUGUUCAGUAUUCACCUAAAAACAUCACAGUUUCAGUCAGUCCUUCUGGUCCAGCACCAGAGAACAGCAAUGUGAGUCUGACCUGCAGCAGUAAUGCCAACCCAGCAGUGAGGAACUACACCUGGUACAGAGCUGAUGGAGACCAGGAGACGCUUAUUGGAACAGGAACCAGUUUAAACAUUCAAGUCUCCAGAGACAGACGGACAUUUUUCUGCAAGGCUGAAAAUGAGAUUGGAGUUGGACGUUCCAGCAGCAUUCAAAUAGAUGUUCAGUAUUCACCUAAAAACAUCACAGUUUCAGUCAGUCCCUCUGGUCCAGUACCAGAGAACAGCAAUGUGAGUCUGACCUGUAGCAGUAAUGCCAACCCAGCAGUGAGGAACUACACCUGGUACAGAGCUGAUGGAGACCAGGAGACGCUUAUUGGAACAGGAACCAGUUUAAACAUUCAAGUCUCCAGAGACAGACGGACAUUUUUCUGCAAGGCUGAAAAUGAGAUUGGAGUUGGACGUUCCAGCAGCGUUCAAAUAGAUGUUCAGUAUUCACCUAAAAACAUCACAGUUUCAGUCAGUCCUUCUGGUCCAGUACCAGAGAACAGCAAUGUGAGUCUGACCUGCAGCAGUAAUGCCAACCCAGCAGUGAGGAACUACACCUGGUACACAGCUGAUGGAGACCAGGAGACUUUAAUUGGAACAGGAACCAGUUUAAACAUUCAAGUCUUCAGAGACAGACGGACAUUUUUCUGCAAGGCUGAAAAUGAGCUUGGAGUCGAACGUUCUAAUCUGACUCAGCUUGAGAUUCAUUUUCUUCCACAGAUCCUGUUUUCAUCAGAUUGUGUUAAAACUGCAAGUCAGGUUAACUGUUCCUGUGACACUGAGGGAAACCCUUCCCCUGCUGUACAGUGGUAUUUGAAUGGGGAACCUGUCAAUCACUCUGGUGAAUUUGAAAUAUUCAGUGAGACUCUAAACAUCACAGUUCACAGGAGCUCCUUCAUUCUGAGUCAACCACAAGUGAAGCAUUUUUCCACCCUGCUCUGCCGUAGCUUCAACUCGCUGGGAUCUGCCAGUCAACAAUUUUGUAUGAGCAAGUUUAAAAGCUCUGCAGAACCUCAAGGUUCAGUUCUGUAUCCAGCGAUCGUCUUCAUUCUUGUAGUGUUACUAUUAGCACUAAUGUGUGUUCUGCUGUUUAUUAUCAGGACUCAGACAAAUCACUGUAAGCUGAAAGUUGGGUUAAUAGAUGAAAACAAAGUUGCGAUUAUUCAGCCUCCAACUGAAGAAGGAAAUGAGGUACCAAACACAACAGAAGAGAGCAUUUAUGCAAAUGCUGAAAGGUUGAGAGAGGCAGGCAUUGUUGACCCUACAGGAGUUGCUGAGCCAAGCAGCACCAACUUGCCAAGCGCUGAGCCAGCGGGUGCAGAAGGAGGAAGCAAAAACUCUGAGAACAAAGGCGACAAGUGUGAAGUCAUUUACUCUAGUGUGAACUGGAAGACCAAGAGCAAGAAAAAGAAGGAAGAAACCUCUGUGGACUUGAAUUCACCUGGUAGCUCUUAUCUGGAGGAGGAGAAGUGCAUUGUGGGAAUUAACAGAAAUUUUGUGAGCAAUGCACUAGAGAUGGGAGGCCUGUAUGAUGAAGUGGGGUUUAAGAAUGUAAAAAAGGAAGUGGAGUGUGAAUAUGCCCAGGUAAAAUUUAAAGACAAGACUAAAAUGCAAAAGUAGUAAACUUCUGUUUUGUUGAGCUUACUGCUAAAAACAUAGCUGCCCAGCUGUACACGUGUUGCUCGCUGCAUUUAGUCACACUAUGACAAAAACAUUUAAGAUAGGAAUAGAAAUACAAUUACAUACCCUUUAUUGAUGGGCCUUUGAAUAGUUACUAAGAAAUAUUUUUUGUUGUGUAAAUAUACCAUUGCUUAACUAUACCUGUGCUAGACCCACUCAUUUGUAGUUCCACUGAAUAUCAUUUGUUGGUAAAAGAGCAAAAAGACCAGACUUUUUAUUAAUAAGGUGUUUUUUUAAUUAAAACUUUUGUAUGUCAUGCGAUGACAUUGUGUCAUCAUUCUGUCUCAAAAAAAAAAAGUCUGAGACAUAAUAAACAAAAUUAUAUAUGAUAAACCAUGAGGAGAAGUGCGAGGAUCGGCAGACACUUUGACAUGAAACUGUAGGAAAGACAGAAUUAUCACUCACAGUAGCUGUGGUAUUGUGUACAAAUUGUUUGUAUAUUUACAAAAUAUUGCAUAAAAGUGUAUCUAGUUGGUUUUGUUCUUUUUGUAUGCUCCAUAUUAACAUCUUUUAGGCAAGCUUAACAUAAUUCCACUGGCUAGCUGCAUAUUAUAUUGUAUCAUUUAGGGCCUAAAUCCUUAACAUAGUACAGCAUCUUAGAUGCAUCUAAUGUUUGAGGCCAUGCUUUAAAAUUGAAUGUACAACAAAUAUUAAAGAACUUUAAUCUUC